CAGUAGCCGCGGUAAUACGAAGGGUGCAAGCGUUAAUCGGAAUUACUGGGCGUAAAGCGUGCGUAGGCGGUUUGUUAAGUCUGUUGUGAAAUCCCCGGGCUCAACCUGGGAAUGGCAAUGGAUACUGGCAAGCUAGAGUGUGUCAGAGGAUGGUGGAAUUCCCGGUGUAGCGGUGAAAUGCGUAGAGAUCGGGAGGAACAUCAGUGGCGAAGGCGGCCAUCUGGGACAACACUGACGCUGAGGCACGAAAGCGUGGGGAGCAAAUAGGAUUAGAUACCCCCGUAGUCCCUGUCUCUUAUAA
rnacentral:rRNA from 1 species